GGAUAACUUGCCUGUGUCCAUGCCGUUUUGUUUAACAAAGGUACGGCGUCAGUCACCAGUGCUGUUUUCUCAGGUGCAUGCACACGCUAUCCAUCUGCACCAAUGCUGGAUGCGAAUGUUGAAAGGUUUUGAAGCAAGUGCAUCAAGGGACAACGGAUAAUAUGGAGCUUCAACAAGAGCGUAUUAGAAUUCGGAUCCUAUGGCAUCCGACUAACAGACCCAAGAUUUAUUGGAUGGUUCAUAAUCCCUGAAAUUUUGGACUAAACUUAAUGUAUCAACUUUGUGCAAAAAAAAAAAAUCUGAAAUUUAAAAAUGACUUGCAUAUUGGAUUGAAAGUGAAAGAAAUGUUAAAUCCCUGCAUAUUACAGGAAAGUGGCUUCUAAGUGACGAGUUUGAAUUACGUUGAUUUUUCUCAUAGUCUGAGGUAGGGGGAAAACGAUGGCUAUUACUACUUACGCUGCUUUCAAGAGAUGAACAGAAAAAACGAAUGAGAAUUUCAGUUUUUAGAGUAAGAUUAGCAAAAACUUUGGAGAUAAUAUCAAUUUAAAUUUACUUAUACCUGAAAGUAUUCUGACGGAAUUCUUCAUUACUCAUGAUGGAAUAUUAUAUGAAUCGAAAGAGGCAGAAUCUCCUGCAAUUGAUAUUAAAAUAGCGCAUUCUACAAAGAAUACAUUGGAAGCCAUUUAAUUGGAAAACGGCUUAAUACCACUCGUCUAUGCAGUGAAUACCAUUUCGGCUCCAGCCGCAAAUUCUAAAUAUGGAGAUAUGGCAGAUGUCUGGAUUGACGGAAAAUAUGCGACUGAAGUGAUAUCGGUAGUCAUAGGUCAGACAACUUACGACCAUUAUGGAUGCAUUUUCCCUGGAUUAAAAGCUUGCGGCCACCAUCAGUAACACGGCUUUUUCGGUUCCAUAUACAAGAUAUCAAUACUCACCAAUUUCCUUAAGAUAAUUUGAAGUAUCAAAUUCUCAUGAUGUCUACAUGGACCCAAGUGAUCACGGUACAAGAUACCAUUUGGAGCUUUCAACCUUGCAAUUCGGAGCCUUUUCAAUGGAACUAUGGAGAUCCAACUUCUGCAGUUGAGUUUGUAAAAUUAAUUUUGGCUUCGCCUAAAUUUAUAUUGGUUCCAAGAAAUGAUUAAUGCAUAAAUCGUCUGCACAGUGGAAAUGAGACUAUGUAUGUAGUCAACAUUACUUGGAUUUCAAUACAUCUUUGAAAUGUUUUAUUCUAAGAGCAACAUGCUGAAUAUUUUUUUUCGGACAUCGCAAAGCUAGAAGUGUGCAAAAUAUCCUAUUCAAGUGUUUGGAAAUUCGAUCAAUAUUUCAUCUUAAAAUUGUCUGGAAACUUUUUUAUUCUUAUACCAACUUUAAAAUACUGGCCUUCAUUCAUUCCCUUCAAAUGUAAUACUUGUUUGUCUUUUAGUCUCUCAGAAAUAAGUAUUUUAAAAACUAUCUACAUUGGUGAAAUGAUUUUUUUAAUAUGGAUAACUUAAAACUUAGUGUAUUUAAUUUUGCUAGUAAUCUAAACCAAUAGUAAUCCAAGAUUGAAUGUUGAUUUACAUUUCAGAUAAAAUUCGCUUUAAAAUUUCUGUAUGGUUAUUAAUCUUAUUAGCUCAACAAAUUGACAAGCAGAGCUCUCAUUAAUCCAGCAAUAGACAGGAAUCGCAAUUAUUAUGAAAUUAAAUAAAACAAUUUCAUUUGCAUAGUGCAUUACUUCAUUGUGAGUGGAAAAGGAAUCUCUUUACAAUUCGAUUUGUUAAGAUUAUUUUUAAUCACUGAUUACCGCAGAAAAUUUAAUGUACAUAUUUUUUGUAGACUGAUCCGUUUUUCAUUUUACCUACAUAUUUUUCAAAAUGAGUCUUUGGUGUCAUUUUGUAUUGAAUAUCAAUGCUCGUGCAAACAACUUCUUGAUCUUGUAAAUUUCUAGAGCUCGCUUUGUAAUUAUAAAACGAGUUGUCAAAUAAUUCAAUGUUCUUAUGACCAUAUGUAUGAUUCUAGUAUAUUAAAGAAUUUUGCAUUUCAUAAUCCUGAUAUUCGCUUUUCAAAUGUUUUUUUAAAUAUACAAAAUUAUUUUAUGCUUAAUCUGUAUAUUGUAUGCAUAUGUAUAUCUUGUGCUUAAUUUCAGUUAUGUUUCCAAGAUAUCUAAAUUUAAAGCAUUUUGGUCUCAAAGUAAACUUUGAAGUUAUGAAAUUUGCUAUAAUAACCAUCAUAUCCAUGUUCGACUAAUUUAAGAUAUACAAAUAGUAACUCGUGUCAAGAAAAAUGUCUAUUUUGUACGGAGGAUAAAUCAAAACGUACUGUUAGCAUGCAUGUUUAUAGUCUUGCAAUGUUUGAAAUUUCGAAAAUAUUUUCAAAAACUCUUAAUCGUAAAUCGCGUAUUUAAACACAUGAAACAGUUUUGUAUUUUUAAGAGACGUUUUAUGGUAAUAUUAUAAAUUU